GCCUACGGCCACGCCACCCUGAACAAGCCCGAUCCUGUCUGACCUCGGAAGCUAAGCAGGGUUGGGCCUGGUGAGUACUUGGAUGGGAGACCACUUAGGAAGACCAGGUGCUGUAAGCG
rnacentral:rRNA from 1 species